UCCAGGGCAGCAGCUGCUAGAAGGUUGGUGUCUGUAGUGUCUCCAGCACAGCAGGGUCUGGUCUGUGUCCAGGCUGCUUCUGCCAUGCUCAAUCUCACCUUACUCUUGAAGGAAAUAAAAGGCUAGGAAGCCAGAAGAAAUACUCACACUGAGGGCACUGGCCCACCAGGGAUGGCAUUAGCAAAAGAGACUCAAUGAGGAUGAGAAAACAGAGAUGACAGAGACCCAAAUAACAUUUGAAUUGGACUCUACCUGCAAGUGGAGCUUUACCAUCCAGAUUUCCCAUUUUGGCCACGCUUCACAUGCGACACAUAUAGAAGUACACAGCAGCUUCCCCCCUUACCUGCAAGGGAUAUGUUCAGAGAUCUCCAGUGGAUGCCUGAAACUAUGGAUAGUACUGAAUCCUAUAUAUACUGUUUUUUUCUAUACAUAUAAUAAAGUUUAUAAAUUAGGUACAGUAAGAGAUUAAAAACUCAAAAUAUGAGUUAAACUCAUAUGCAAUAUAAUAUAUGCA
rnacentral:lncRNA from 1 species